rnacentral:lncRNA from 1 species
UUAGGAACAAAUUAUCUGUUUAUUUUAUUGAUGGUCGUUACUUAUUCGUGUGUGCAGAUAAAAUAGCAAAGGAACGUGUGUCAAAGACAGGUGGAAGAGGAAGAGAUAAGUCUCCAUCCAAAAGAUCUAGCAAAAUAAUUAAGACAUCUCAGGAGGGAAAUAAGAUAUACCUUUUUCACGUAGUAGAAGUAGGGAAUGCUGGAG